GUCCACGCCGUAAACGAUGGGCACUAGGUGUCGGGGGUAUCGACCCCUCCGGUGCCGUAGCUAACGCAUUAAGUGCCCCGCCUGGGGAGUACGGCCGCAAGGCUAAAACUCAAAGGAAUUGACGGGGGCCCGCACAAGCAGCGGAGCGUGUGGUUUAAUUCGACGCAACGCGAAGAACCUUACCAGGGCUUGACAUGCACUGGAAUGUCGGUGAAAGCCGGCAGCCCUUCGGGGCCAGUGCACAGGUGCUGCAUGGCUGUCGU
rnacentral:rRNA from 1 species